UACGUAGGCAGCGAGCGUUGUUCGGAGUUACUGGGCGUAAAGAGUGCGUAGGCGGUUUUCUAAGUUUGGUGUGAAAUCUCCCGGCUCAACUGGGAGGGUGCGCCGAAGACUGGAAGGCUUGAGUAUGGGAGAGGUAAGCGGAAUUCCUGGUGUAGCGGUGAAAUGCGUAGAUAUCAGGAGGAACACCGGUGGCGAAGGCGGCUAUCUGGACAGAAACUGACGCUGAGGCGCGAAAGCUAGGGGAGCAAACAGG
rnacentral:rRNA from 1 species